rnacentral:rRNA from 1 species
CAGAGGUCCCAAGCGUUGUUCGGAUUUACUGGGCGUAAAGGGUGCGUAGGUGGUUGGAUAGGUCUGAUGUGAAAUCUCCGAGCUUAACUCGGAAAUGGCAUUGGAAACUAUUCGACUAGAGAGUUGGAGGGGGGACUGGAAUACUUGGUGUAGCAGUGAAAUGCGUAGAUAUCAAGUGGAACACCAGUGGCGAAGGCGAGUCCCUGGACAACUUCUGACACUGAGGCACGAAAGCUAGGGGAGCAAACAGGAUUAGAUACCCUGGUAGUCCUAGCUGUAAACGGUGCAUAUUUGCCGUAAAAGGAAUCGACCCCUUUUGUGGCGUAGCAAACGCGUUAAAUAUGCCGCCUGGGAAGUACGGUCGCAAGAUUA